CUGCAAGUCGAGCGGCAGCACGGGUACUUGUACCUGGGGGCGGGGGGCGGACGGGUGAGUAAUGCCUAGGAAUCUGCCUAGUAGAGGGGGAUAACGUCCGGAAACGGGCGCUAAUACCGCAUACGUCCUACGGGAGAAAGUGGGGGAUCUUCGGACCUCACGCUAUUAGAUGAGCCUAGGUCGGAUUAGCUAGUUGGUGAGGUAAUGGCUCACCAAGGCGACGAUCCGUAACUGGUCUGAGAGGAUGAUCAGUCACACUGGAACUGAGACACGGUCCAGACUCCUACGGGAGGCAGCAGUGGGGAAUAUUGGACAAUGGGCGAAAGCCUGAUCCAGCCAUGCCGCGUGUGUGAAGAAGGUCUUCGGAUUGUAAAGCACUUUAAGUUGGGAGGAAGGGCAGUUACCUAAUACGUGAUUGUUUUGACGUUACCGACAGAAUAAGCACCGGCUAACUCUGUGCCAGCAGCCGCGGUAAUACAGAGGGUGCAAGCGUUAAUCGGAAUUACUGGGCGUAAAGCGCGCGUAGGUGGUUUGUUAAGUUGGAUGUGAAAGCCCCCGGGGCUCAACCUGGGAACUGCAUCCAAAACUUGGCAAGCUAGAGUAUGGUAGAGGGGUGGUGGAAUUUCCUGUGUAGCGGUGAAAUGCGUAGAUAUAGGAAGGACCACCAGUGGCGAAGGCGACCACCUGGACUGAUACUGACACUGAGGUGCGAAAGCGUGGGGAGCAAACA
rnacentral:rRNA from 1 species